GUUUAUAUUGGAGUACUAUUGUUUACGGAAAGUAAAAUACAUCAAAAAAAAUUUGAUGCUUGAAAGUAAAAAAGAUGCUCAGCAUUUUAUAAAAGAAACCCCGAAUUUUAAAAAAGAAUGGGAGCUAUAUUCUGCAUGCAACUAUACUAAAUAACAGUAAUGUGGUAAUAGGAACUACCUGGUUUCAAUUUUUUGAACUGAU